rnacentral:rRNA from 1 species
CAUGCAGUCGAGCGGAACGAGUUAUCUGAACCUUCGGGGAACGUUAASGGCGUCGAGCGGCGGACGGGUGAGUAAUGCCUAGGAAAUUGCCCUGAUGUGGGGGAUAACCAUUGGAAACGAUGGCUAAUACCGCAUGAUGCCUACGGGCCAAAGAGGGGGACCUUCGGGCCUCUCGCGUCAGGAUAUGCCUAGGUGGGAUUAGCUAGUUGGUGAGGUAAUGGCUCACCAAGGCGACGAUCCCUAGCUGGUCUGAGAGGAUGAUCAGCCACACUGGAACUGAGACACGGUCCAGACUCCUACGGGAGGCAGCAGUGGGGAAUAUUGCACAAUGGGCGCAAGCCUGAUGCAGCCAUGCCGCGUGUGUGAAGAAGGCCUUCGGGUUGUAAAGCACUUUCAGUCGUGAGGAAGGUGGUGUAGUUAAUAGCUGCAUUACUUGACGUUAGCGACAGAAGAAGCACCGGCUAACUCCGUGCCAGCAGCCGCGGUAAUACGGAGGGUGCGAGCGUUAAUCGGAAUUACUGGGCGUAAAGCGCAUGCAGGUGGUUUGUUAAGUCAGAUGUGAAAGCCCGGGGCUCAACCUCGGAAUAGCAUUUGAAACUGGCAGACUAGAGUACUGUAGAGGGGGGUAGAAUUUCAGGUGUAGCGGUGAAAUGCGUAGAGAUCUGAAGGAAUACCGGUGGCGAAGGCGGCCCCCUGGACAGAUACUGACACUCAGAUGCGAAAGCGUGGGAGCAAACAGGAUUAGA